rnacentral:rRNA from 1 species
CCUACGGGAGGCAGCAGUGAGGAAUAUUGGUCAAUGGACGAGAGUCUGAACCAGCCAAGUAGCGUGAAGGAUGACUGCCCUAUGGGUUGUAAACUUCUUUUAUAUGGGAAUAAAAUGUUCCACGUGUGGGCUUUUGUAUGUACCAUAUGAAUAAGGAUCGGCUAACUCCGUUCCAGCAGCCGCGGUAAUACGGAGGAUCCGAGCGUUAUCCGGAUUUAUUGGGUUUAAAGGGGGCGUAGGUGGAUUGUUAAGUCAGUUGUGAAAGUUUGCGGCUCAACCGUAAAAUUGCAGUUGAAACUGGCAGUCUUGAGUACAGUAGAGGUGGGCGGAAUUCGUGGUGUAGCGGUGAAAUGCUUAGAUAUCACGAAGAACUCCGAUUGCGAAGGCAGCUCACUGGACUGCAACGGACACUGAGGCUCGAAAGUGUGGGUAUCAAACAGGAUUAGAUACCCUGGUAGUC